ACUCAAAUGAAUUGACGGGGACCCGCACAAGCGGUGGAGCGUGUGGUUUAAUUCGACGCUAAGCGAAGAACCUUACCAGGGUUUGACAUCCUGGUCGUAUCCCGGUGAAAGCCGGGAGUCAGUCUGCUGGACCAGUGACAGGUGCUGCAUGGCCGUCGUCAGCUCGUGUCGUGAGAUGUUGGGUUAAGUCCCGCAACGAGCGCAACCUCUGUCGUCUGUUGUAUUUUUCAGACGAGACUGCCUCGGUCAACGAGGAGGAAGGUGGAGAUGACGUCAGGUCAGCAUGGCCCUUACGCCCUGGGCGACACACGCGCUACAAUGGCCGGUACAAUGGGUCGCGAAAUCGCGAGAUGGAGCUAAUCCCAUCAAAGCCGGUCCCAGUUCGGAUUGGAGGCUGCAACUCGCCUUCAUGAAGCCGGAAUCGCUAGUAAACGCGGAUCAGCCACGCUGCGUUGAAUACGUUCUCGGGUCUUGUACACACCGCCCGU
rnacentral:rRNA from 1 species